rnacentral:rRNA from 1 species
AGUGAACGCUGGCGGUAGGCCUAACACAUGCAAGUCGAACGGCAGCACAGUAAGAGCUUGCUCUUACGGUUGGCGAGUGGCGGACGGGUGAGGAAUACAUCGGAAUCUACUUUUUCGUGGGUGAUAACGUAGGGAAACUUACGCUAAUACCGCAUACGACCUACGGGUGAAAGCAGGGGAUCUUCGGACCUUUCGCGAUUGAAUGAGCCGAUGUCGGAUUAGCUAGUUGGCGGGGUAAGGGCCCACCAAGGCGACGAUCCGUAGCUGGUCUGAGAGGAUGAUCAGCCACACUGGAACUGAGACACGGUCCAGACUCCUACGGGAGGCAGCAGUGGGGAAUAUUGGACAAUGGGCGAAAGCCUGAUCCAGCCAUACCGCGUGGGUGAAGAAGGCCUUCGGGUUGUAAAGCCCUUUUGUUGGGAAAGAAAAGCAGCAGGUUAAUACCCCGCUGUUCUGACGGUACCCAAAGAAUAAGCACCGGCUAACUUCGUG